UAGAAAAACUACAACACCACACCAGAUCUAGCUAGACCGAGAACAUAACGACAGGCACGCUGCACACACGCCGUUUGGGCUUGCGAGCCGGCCAAAGAGUAGUAACCUAACGUUUCUUUUUGA